rnacentral:rRNA from 1 species
GACGAACGCUGGCGGCGUGCCUAAUACAUGCUAGUCGAACGAGAGCGCCCGGUGCUUGCACUGGGCAAUCUAGUGGCGAACGUGUGAGUAACACGUGGGUAACCUGCCCAGCAGAGGGGGAUAACAUCCGGAAACGGAUGCUAAAACCGCAUAGGUCUUCGAGCCGCAUGGCUUGAAGAGGAAAAGAGGCGCAAGCUUCUGCUGAGGGAUCGACCCGCGGUGCAUUAGAUAGUUGGUGAGGUAACGGUUCACCAAGGCCGGGAAGCAUCGCCGACCUGAGGGGGUGAUCGGCUACCUUGGGUCUGAGACACGGCCCAAGGUCCUACGAGAGGCAGCAGUAGGGAAUCUUCCGCAAUGGGCGACAGUCUGACGGAGAAAGGCCUCGUGUGUGAAGAAGGUUUUCGGAGCGUAAAGCUCUGUUGUUAGUGAAGAACAGGUUUUAGAGUAGCUGUUGGCGCCGUGACGGUACCUAACCAGAAAGCCACGGCUAACUACGUG